GUUGAACGCUGGCGGCAGGCCUAACACAUGCAAGUCGAGCGGUAGCACAGAGAGCUUGCUCUCGGGUGACGAGCGGCGGACGGGCGAGUAAUGUCUGGGAAACUGCCUGAUGGAGGGGGAUAACUACUGGAAACGGUAGCUAAUACCGCAUAACGUCGCAAGACCAAAGUGGGGGACCUUCGGGCCUCAUGCCAUCAGAUGUGCCCAGAUGGGAUUAGCUAGUAGGUGGGGUAACGGCUCACCUAGGCGACGAUCCCUAGCUGGUCUGAGAGGAUGACCAGCCACACUGGAACUGAGACACGGUCCAGACUCCUACGGGAGGCAGCAGUGGGGAAUAUUGCACAAUGGGCGCAAGCCUGAUGCAGCCAUGCCGCGUGUGUGAAGAAGGCCUUCGGGUUGUAAAGCACUUUCAGCGGGGAGGAAGGCGUUAAGGUUAAUAACCUUGGCGAUUGACGUUACCCGCAGAAGAAGCACCGGCUAACUCCGUGCCAGCAGCCGCGGUAAUACGGAGGGUGCAAGCGUUAAUCGGAAUUACUGGGCGUAAAGCGCACGCAGGCGGUCUGUCAAGUCGGAUGUGAAAUCCCCGGGCUCAACCUGGGAACUGCAUUCGAAACUGGCAGGCUAGAGUCUUGUAGAGGGGGGUAGAAUUCCAGGUGUAGCGGUGAAAUGCGUAGAGAUCUGGAGGAAUACCGGUGGCGAAGGCGGCCCCCUGGACAAAGACUGACGCUCAGGUGCGAAAGCGUGGGGAGCAAACAGGAUUAGAUACCCUGGUAGUCCACGCCGUAAACGAUGUCGAUUUGGAGGUUGUGCCCUUGAGGCGUGGCUUCCGGAGCUAACGCGUUAAAUCGACCGCCUGGGGAGUACGGCCGCAAGGUUAAAACUCAAAUGAAUUGACGGGGGCCCGCACAAGCGGUGGAGCAUGUGGUUUAAUUCGAUGCAACGCGAAGAACCUUACCUGGUCUUGACAUCCACAGAACUUAGCAGAGAUGCUUUGGUGCCUUCGGGAACUGUGAGACAGGUGCUGCAUGGCUGUCGUCAGCUCGUGUUGUGAAAUGUUGGGUUAAGUCCCGCAACGAGCGCAACCCUUAUCCUUUGUUGCCAGCGGUCCGGCCGGGAACUCAAAGGAGACUGCCAGUGAUAAACUGGAGGAAGGUGGGGAUGACGUCAAGUCAUCAUGGCCCUUACGACCAGGGCUACACACGUGCUACAAUGGCAUAUACAAAGAGAAGCGACCUCGCGAGAGCAAGCGGACCUCAUAAAGUAUGUCGUAGUCCGGAUUGGAGUCUGCAACUCGACUCCAUGAAGUCGGAAUCGCUAGUAAUCGUAGAUCAGAAUGCUACGGUGAAUACGUUCCCGGGCCU
rnacentral:rRNA from 1 species